rnacentral:rRNA from 1 species
UACGUAGGGUGCAAGCGUUAAUCGGAAUUACUGGGCGCAAAGCGUGCGCAGGCGGUUUUUCAAGACAGAUGUGAAAUCCCCGGGCUUAACCUGGGAAUGGCAUUUGUGACUGGAAGGCUAGAGUGUGUCAGAGGGGGGUAGAAUUCCACGUGUAGCAGUGAAAUGCGUAGAGAUGUGGAGGAAUACCGAUGGCGAAGGCAGCCCCCUGGGAUAACACUGACGCUCAUGCACGAAAGCGUGGGGAGCAAACAGG